UCUUCCCCCGAUUUUAAAGAAAACACGCUGCCUCCACUGAGCCGGGUCCUCCUCUCUCUCACGACAGACCACCACCACCAGGCAUCCACCCACGACGACCACCACAAGGCUGCGACCUGCGACCCUCGACCCCGAACCCCGUAAAUAAUUUGGGUUGUCCUCUUCGGCCAAAACAAGUGCAUUUGCUGAAGACAUCUUCGCAAGAGUGCCCGGUAAAGAAUCUGGUUUGAAUGUGAGUUGUUACUCGAGUAUAUCAGCUAUAUCGGAAACAAGAGAGGGAAGCUGCGAUGUUAGUAAAGAAGCAGAAGACGUAUUCUCUCUUGGAUGCAAAUGGCGAUGAUGGCGAUAGAUCUUCUGCCCAUGUUGUUUUUGAGUCCAGGAAAGCUGAUUCCCAUAAGAAACUACUCAGGAAGAAGGUCUUGAGUCAAGAAGAUGAAGAUGAUGAGGUGAUUGCACAAGAGGAAGAAGAGAGACUUGUUAAAAGACGAAUUCCCCAGAUGACGAUGAUGGUUUGAAUUCUAGUCUAGGAGGCAAAAGCUUGGCAAAGAAGAAAGAAGGUGGGGUAUGUUUGUGUUUGGUGUGAUGUGUGUUUCUCUUUGUACUAUGGUCCUUACUAUUUCAG